rnacentral:rRNA from 1 species
GACGAACGCUGGCGGCGUGCUUAACACAUGCAAGUCGAACGGAAAGGCCCUGCUUUUGUGGGGUGCUCGAGUGGCGAACGGGUGAGUAACACGUGAGUAACCUGCCCUUGACUUUGGGAUAACUUCAGGAAACUGGGGCUAAUACCGGAUAGGAGCUCCUGCUGCAUGGUGGGGGUUGGAAAGUUUCGGCGGUUGGGGAUGGACUCGCGGCUUAUCAGCUUGUUGGUGGGGUAGUGGCUUACCAAGGCUUUGACGGGUAGCCGGCCUGAGAGGGUGACCGGCCACAUUGGGACUGAGAUACGGACCAGACUCCUACGGGAGGCAGCAGUGGGGAAUAUUGCACAAUGGGAGGAAGCCUGAUGCAGCAACGCCGCGUGCGGGAUGACGGCCUUCGGGUUGUAAACCGCUUUCGCCUGUGACGAAGCGUGAGUGACGGUAAUGGGUAAAGAAGCACCGGCUAACUACGUGC